rnacentral:lncRNA from 1 species
UCUUUUUGAGACAGGGUCUCCCUGUAGCCCUAGCUGUCCUAGAUUCACUAUGGAGACCAGGCUGGCCUCGAACUCACAGAGAUCUGCCUGCCUCUGCCUCCCGAGUGCUGGGAUUAGAGGCAAACGCCACCACACCCGGCUUAAUUUUUAUUAUUUUUAUUUUAUGUGUACAAGUGUAUUGCCCACCCAUAUGUAUGCACCCGUGUUGUGCAAUCCCUCAGUGGUCAGAAGAGGGUUGUGGAUUCCCCUGGAACUGGAGUUAAGGACAGUUCUUAGCUGCCAUGUGGGUGCUGGGAACCGAACUUGGAGCCUCUGCAAGAGCAGUCAGUGUUCUUAAUCGCUGAGCCAUCUCUCCAGCCCCAUAAGAGACCUUAUGUAAAAGUCUUGGAAAGGUGCCAAAGCCACUAUUGCUGUUUUUAUUUAUUGCACAUCUGCCAUGAUCAUUUUAGGCAUCCACAAGUCAUUGAUAUAAGACCAUCCUGUGGACCCUGGGUGGGUGAACCUUUCUUAGAGCACAGUUUGCUGGAUGGGCCCCAGGGUCCCUGCAUGCCCUGGCAUUUCUUCUCACCCAGCCCUGGAGUCCCUGUUGCUGACUGACCUGUGGUGGUGCCUCUAUCUGCAGUAUGUACAUGAAGGUGGUGUGGAGGACCUGGUGCGGCCCCUUCUGGCCAUCCUGGACAGGCCAGAGAAACUGCUGCUGCUGAGGGACAUCAGGAGUGUGGUGGCCCCCACGGACCUUGGUCGCUUUGACAGCAUGGUGAUGCCUGUGGAAUUAAAGGCUUUCGAGGCUCUCAAGAGCAGGGCAGUGAGGCCUUCUGCUUUGAGACCAGCCAGACAAGACACACCACCCAAGCGUCACCUCAUCACCCCUGUGCCUGGUCAGUCAGAGUCCCAGAGCCUAGAAAGAGGGAAACCCCAGGGACAUUAGAGCAGGGAAAACAGGCCUUCCAUCCUGCCUUGGAUCUGGGUCAUUGCGGGUCAGAAGGAAAGCCCCUUGGCCACUGUUAUCGGAUCUACCCAUACUCGGACCAUUAUUUGAGACCAUUAUUUCAUAGGGUGCUUUAAAACCACACUUUUAUUUUUUAUUUUAUCUUAUUUAUUUAUUUAUUUAUUUAUUUAUUUAUUUAUUUAUUUUUUGUCUUUCUG